rnacentral:rRNA from 1 species
UACGAAGGGGGCUAGCGUUGUCCGGAUUCAUUGGGCGUAAAGGGUGCGUAGGUGGCGUGGUAAGUCUGGUGUGAAAUCCCGGGGCUCAACCCCGGAACUGCACUGGAUACUGCCAUGCUUGAGUACUGGAGAGGAGAUUGGAAUUUACGGUGUAGCAGUGAAAUGCGUAGAUAUCGUAAGGAAGACCAGUGGCGAAGGCGAAUCUCUGGACAGUUACUGACACUGAGGCACGAAGGCCAGGGGAGCAAACGGG